UUGUUAUGCCACAGUCAGAUUGGAAAGU
rnacentral:piRNA from 1 species